UUCGGCGCUGGUGGACACGUCAGUAUCUCCGGUAUCCGAGACUUUUGAGAUUUUGGGGUACAACAACCGCCGCCGACACCACCUUUACCUGGUGAUGACGUCAGCACCUUCGGAGAAGGAGAGUGAACAGAGUAGCUUGUGUCUUCAGGUGAAAACGUCGUCGUUGUGGAAGAACACGAGGAGACAAUAGUAGAUGAAGAAGUAUGGUCGAGAAUAGUGGGUGUGUCGGUGUUCUUGUGUCGUGGAAGCUUUUUCUUGAAAUGGGUUCUUUUGAGUUUCUUCUCAGCUCGGUUUGGUUUUCUUGCUUUUCUUGAUGCCAUUUUAGACCUAAUCAAAAGAGAGUUUUCCCAAGAAAAGAAAAGAAGAAGGGCUUUUCCCUUUGCAAUGUUAGGUGAGUGAAAGAGAGAGAAAGAAUAAGAAGAGAGACGUUGUUUAUUAGCUUAGUUAGUAUAUAUAGUAUAUGACACCGGUCAACACGUUAGUGGGAGGGUCACUUACGUUUCUAGAUUUUGACUACCUAACGUUUUCACUAUAGGAGGAUCCAAAGUAAGUCUGGACACGGAUCGGAUAUCCGAGUUUUUAAGGGUAUUUGUGAUUUGCUUUAUAUGUAUAUCUAAUUUUUCGAUUUGCUUUGUUUCAGAAAAAUACGGAUAUUUGGAAAAACGGAUAUCAUGUAAAUAAAUAGAUAUUUGCGGAUAUUUACGAAUAUUUACUGAUAUUUCAUAUGUUUUGAUUGAUACAAAUAAUCUUAAAAUUUUGAUACAAAUUUGUUUUGUAAAAUAUUUUCUCUGUUCCUAAAGAUCCAUAUUUUAAAAUUUUCACACUUUUUAAUAAAACAUAUUAAAACUUAUCUAUAAAUGCAUUUUUUUUGUAAUUUUAUAUUUUCUAUAUUUUAAAACCAAUAAGAUUUUAAUAAAUGCAAUUAAUGUUCUUGAACUUCACAAUUUCUCAUUAUUAGUUGACAAAAAUUAUACUGAAAAUAUAAAAUAUGUAUCUUUUUGAAACAAAAUUUUUUUUUUCUGGAAUAUGAAUCUUUUAGAAACGAAUGAAGUAUUUUUUUGCAUGAUAUAUAUGAUAAAAAUUAAAAGAAGUAGUGAAUCUACAUAUUUUGUAAAUUUUUUGAACUUAGUUAGCAAUUAUAAUAACACAAAACUUAAGAAAACAAUUAUAAUUGUCAUAAAUGUGUUCUCUUCCUUUUGAUGUAAUAUUUUUAUAUAAGUAAUAAUGUGAAUAUAAUUUAUCAAAUCUUAUGUUAGAAUAAUAAUUAUAUAAUUUUAUACAUUAAAAACUUUAAAUAUAAUCAAGAUAUACAUGUAUUUAUAUAUUACCGGAUCGGAUCGGAUAUUCGCUUUCCAAAAUUUUAAUAUUUGUGAUUUGCUUCGAUUUUAACGGAUAUUUGUUUUUAGUAUUUGCUUUGCUUCGAAAGUUUACGGAUAUUCGAAUUUUCAGAUCGAAUCGAAAUAAAUAACAAAUCAAAUCAAAUUUAACGGAUAAAAUUCUCAGCCCUAAUCCAAGGACAAAGUGAAGUGAUCAUGGUGGGAUUUGAGAUUUAUAACUAAAUAAAUAUUUUAAAAUUAAGUUUAAUAAUUUAGCAGCUAUGCUAUGUAUUUACAAUAUUUUUUUAAAAAAAGAAACUAAUGCGAAUGUUUCAUUCGUAUCUGACUGAUCCUUAAACAGGUUAUAAGGUUUUUUCUUCUUCUUUCGUUUCGUUAAAGAUCAAUUGCAUGUAUGUAAUGCAAGUCUGACAAACAAAAUUGGUUGUAUAUUCUUACUUUCCAUUUUUAAAGACUGAAUGCAAUAAGACAUUGAAGAUGCAUAUCAGUUUUUUUGUAAAAGACAUUGAAAAUGCAUAGAAAGAUAGUGGUAAGUUUAGUCAAAAAAGAAAAGAAAAGAUAGUGGUAAGUUUUGCUGAUAUUGAUUCUACUACUACAAGUUCUGUUGCGUUUUCACCGACCAAAAGAAGGGAAGAAAGAGGAAAAAUGAAAAUGAAAAAUUAGCUUACCCCCUCUUUUCACAAAUGGUAGAUACUAGAUAGCUUUGCUUAGCCCACCACUUGUGCUCAAAAUGGGUAGAUUAAAUUUUUUACGAAGAACAAUAUUUUUCCUAUUGAACUUUAUAUUUUUCUUUACAGAAAUAUGUUUCUUAUUUAACUUCAUCAUAUUACUAAUAUAUUCACGAGAAAGAGCUUAAGAAUCAAAUAACCCAUAUGAAACAUUAAACAAAGAUAUAUACCAUAUUUCCCUAGUGCAAACUCAGAUAUAUAAUUUAAGUAUGAAAGACUAUACUUUCGGUGAGAAUAUAGAAGUUGACAAAUAAAAAACGGAGGUACGAUUUCUUAAUUAAGGUUUUUUUUGUCAACUCUUGAUUAAGGUUAUGUUAUGAUAUUGGAAAAUGUUGUAAAAUCGUUAUUGGUUAAAAGAGAAUUCUCUUGAGCCAGAGGCCCAGAGCCACUAUGAAAAUGGUUGGGAAAUUGAAAAAAGGAAAAAGCUAAAAACAGAGAAGAAAAGAAAAACAGGAAUAUCAUUGUAAGCAUCUACAAACAUGAUGUCAUUUAUUCAGGUUUACAGUGGUGCUGUUGUAGUCUUUCACUGUUCACAUGGUAAGAGCAUUGUCAAUGUAUUAUUCCAUGUUUAUUUUGAAAUGGUGUAUUUUGGGUUUUACUCCAAUAUAUUAUUCUAUUUUUUUACUUCAAAAAAAUAUCCAAAAUAAUUUUAUUUUUAUUUAAUUAAUAAUUGUUAGUAAAAAAUUUUACUUAUAAAAAUUAUCAAUUAACCCCAACUAUCGUAUAUUUAUAAUACUUUCAGAAAAUAUAAUUUAUUUAAAUAAAAAAAAUAUUAUUAAAAGUACAAUAAUCAUAAAUAUAUAUAUAUAUAUAUAUAAGAAUAUUAUUUUUGCAAAUGGUCAACUAAUGCAUUCAUAACGAAUAAUGAGUGUUUUUAUCUUUGAUUUUCUUAAAUCGAACAAGAAAAUUUUAAAAUGGUCAUUUUCAUAGUGUGGACAAUACUUUACCGAUUUUGGCAGUUCUAGAAAUGAUUUAUUGGAUUGUUAGAUCAUUUUUUUAUGUUUAUUUAUUUUAUAUUUUAUAUUUUUAUGUUUAGUUUUGGUAUUUUUAUUAGUUUAUGCUUCUUUAUGUAAAAUUAUUAAAUCUCUUAUCAAAAUCAUAUUUCUUUUCAUUUUAUUGUAUUAUUUUUAAUAUUUAAGUAUGAAAAAAAAAUUAAUAUUUGAAAGAUCAUUAAAUAAAUAAAAUUUAAUUCUAAAAUAGAGUAAAUGGUGAGAUUGCUAUAUAAAUGGAGUAAAUUUAGCCGUUACUCAUUUUAGAGUUGAAAAUAAGGUGGAAUUAGAGCAUAUAUCAUUCGAAAAAAAUGUUCGGAAUAGAAAAUCGAGUAUGGUUGGAGAUAUCCUAAAUGCCUGAUAUUUGGAAGUACUAAAAUAUUUCAAUUAAAAAUACAUUAAUAGUGUUUGAAUGCUCACAGGACCCGACAGCGACAAACGAGAAAAUUGACCUUUUUCCCAUGUUAAUUAAUUUAUUGUUUUGAUUUUUUGAGAAGAUGAGGUUACUAUUAACUAGUACGUUUUUUUCUGCCGUCAAAAUAGUGUGCAGAAUGUGAUAAUAAAUGGCCAGUUAAUAAUUGAUCAGAUAACACUUUCCUAAGAUGAUAUUCAUUGUAGAGGAAUACAUCUAUAUAUUCGCACACAAGAGUAUCUUAAGAAGUUUGUUUGAACAAAAACGGUAUUGAUCUUUCUUUACUGUCGUACGUUACUGUGUAUGAUAAAGUAGAGAUUCCUACUACACUGAAUGAAAGGAAAAUAUAGAAAAGUGAAAGAAAGGAAGAUAUAAUGAAUUAGAAAAGGAUUACAAGAAAAAUAGAGAAAAUAAUAAUAAGAUAAUGUUGACACAAACUUUGAUGUAGCUAGUAUAAGGAAGACGAUCACGUGGACUGACAUGCAAAUUUAAUCUAUAUAGUACUAAAAUAUGCAUGGGUUUGUGUACACCACAACUAACUCUUUCUGAUUUUAGUUGAGGUAGUAUGGUUGUACCAGUAUUAGUCUAUUAGAAACAACGACAACAAUGUCAAUUCUAAAAACAAAUGUUAAAAUCAAAAGUGAACAAACCUUUACAAACCAAACAAGUACAUAAAAUAUGCGAGACUGGCUCUUGUCAUGGGAUCCUAAAACAUAGGAUUCACUAUGGUAAUCGGCAACUGAGAUUCUCAUUCAUCUUAGAUGUUCAAACAUCAAAGAUAAACGAAUUAUUAAUUUAUAUUAUUAAAACAAGAAUAUUGUUUGAAAUUAACCUUGUUACCUUAUGUAAUUUUUACUGUUUUAAACUAUUCAUAAAACUCUCAUUAAAAAUAAAUUAGCCAUUGCUUGCUUAUACGUUAGAUUAUUUAAAUAAAUACACUAUCACAUAUGAGAUUAUUCUACCAUCUAGAUAAUACUUUUUAAUUUUAAGUAUUUCAUAUUAACUAUAAAAAACUUAUAACUUCUAAGAAAUUAUUAUUGCUUAUAUACUAAUUAAAUUUAUAAUUAUAACUAGAAAUAUUAUAAGUAAAUAUUAAUUCAGUGUAAAUUUUAAAAUAUUUUUUUUAAUAAUAUUAUCUCCCACCAUCACAACGGGUCAAAUUAUUAAACUAUACAAAAACUAAAAUGAUUAAAUUAUCUUACUUAACUUUUGUAUCUACAACUACAUAUUAUUUAAAGUGCAUUAAAAUUUUGCUAAAAAUAAUAUUUCUGUACUUUUGUAACGCGUUAUUUUAUUUUGUUAGCACAUGCUUGAUCACAAUGUUUUUACAAAAAAUAAAUAAAUCAAAUUUACACCUGCAUUUCUUUAAUUCAAAUAAAAAGAAAACGAAAUAACGCCAUGUUUCUUUUCCAGAGACCAUAUUCACUAACAAAUUAUUUCAAAUAAAUAUGUUAUUCUUCUUAAUCUACGGCGCCAUCCGAUUUCCACAUGUUAGCCAAGCUCAUUAUCAUUACCUUCAAAGCAAUAUGGUUUCAGCCAUGAAAACAUAAAGGUUCUUUUCGAAGAUGAAUGUGAUAAAACGGCAUCUGUGCAAUUAUAAAAAGAUUAUUGAGGUUUUAAAUCUCUGCUGUCUUUGUUUUUUGUUAAAAGAUAUACGUAAAUGUUUAUAUUUUUAUAUUUAAAUAUAGGGUCUUAAAGUUCUGACCCCUUUGUUAUAUUGUACAUUCAGAGUUCAGACAAUUCACUUUUAAGUAAUUGUCAGACUUGGUUCAGAUGUAUGUGCAAGAAAACAGAGAAUGACAAAAGACAAUGGUGUAAUUUUCAACCGGAUAAACCCAAAAGUCUCUUCUUCUGCUCGCACAGUGACAUUUUCAAUUCGAAUAAUUAUAUGCUCACAAUUAUUAUGAUCCAGCCGUACAUUUGUUUUUGAUAUUUCUGCCAUGGGUUUUAUAAGUGACACUCGAAGUGAAAAAGGUAAGAAAUAAAUAGACGUAACAACUAUGCCGAUACUGUUAUGUCCAAUGGUUUUGGCCCUACCGAUAUAAUAUGUCUGAGAUACUGUCAAGAAACUAUCAAAGACGAGAGAGAUGCUCAAUACUGUUUAUCGUUUUACUCACCGAACCAAAAGAUCAAUGAAGACAAAUAACUUUUCUCAGUCUUUUUUACAUCAACACCACAAAAAGAUCCAAAACCAUUGAUCUCUUCAAGGUUUCUGUCGUUUUAACCACUAGUCUCACAGAAGAGAGCAUCAAUCAAGAUUAUUACUAUUCCCACAACUUUCAGCAAAAUCCUAAUAAUGUUACAGUCCAACAAGGCUUGAUCAAGAGAGUGAAUCAAAAGAGGAUUCAGGACCUAUUUGAUUCGAAACUUAAGACACUGAUGCAGAACACAGCAGAAUCUAAAGAAAGGAUAAAACUAGUAGCACCCUGACCAGACAGUACAUCAAAACGAAACCACUAAUGCGUCGAAGUUGUGAUCUUCUUCUGACAAUCAUUAAGGAACAGAAGAAAGUAUGAAAGUACCAUGACAAGCGUGGUGGAUCACCUUCCUCUUGAUAGUGCAUCCUCCAACUCUUCAACCGAAGAAGGAAACAGUUCUAUGUACCGGCUCCCGAGCAUCUUCCUGUCCUUGACCAUCGCAGCUCUCGAUUCUUCAGCACUCCCAAACUCUACAAACGCGUCUCCAGUGGGUCUCCCUUCACCAUUGACGGUAACAUGAAUAGAGUCUUCAGACAGAUCAAAAUCUUUGAAGAAGUCAAGUAUAUCUUCCUUCCCGGCCGAGAAAGGUAAUCCUCUCAAUCUCAAGAUACCCGUAUGGUCAGCAUUCUCUUUCCCAUCAUCACUCGAUCUAACCAAAAACAUCACUAGAUAUCAUUAUAAUAUACUCUUCGUUAUUGUAUUAACAAAUCAAAGAGAUGAAAUCUUGAUCAUCUUCUCAUACUACUUUCUAUAUCGAUCGAUCCUAGCACCAAUAACAAAAAAAAAAAGACUACAAAUAUUAAUUCAAAUCUGCUUAUUGAUGGUUUGCUUUGACGAAGAAGAGCUCUAUCUCUGGAGGAGCAAAGAAAACGAUCUGUCUCCGUCGUAACGUGCAGUUCUGUGGGACUCUUUUCUUCUUCGGCGCUGGUGGACACGUCAGUAUCUCCGGUAUCCGAGACUUUUGAGAUUUUGGGGUACAACAACCGCCGCCGACACCACCUUUACCUGGUGAUGACGUCAGCACCUUCGGAGAAGGAGAGUGAACAGAGUAGCUUGUGUCUUCAGGUGAAAACGUCGUCGUUGUGGAAGAACACGAGGAGACAAUAGUAGAUGAAGAAGUAUGGUCGAGAAUAGUGGGUGUGUCGGUGUUCUUGUGUCGUGGAAGCUUUUUCUUGAAAUGGGUUCUUUUGAGUUUCUUCUCAGCUCGGUUU
rnacentral:lncRNA from 1 species